GGCUGCAGACAACGAAGGGAAGCUGGGGGAGAAGGUGGCAAAGUUGCCUUGGGACACGGAGAGCCAGAUGCCCACUCCCAGCAGCCCACAGCCACAGAGCUGGAAAGGAAGGAAAGCCCAUUAGCCUGGCGCUGCUCUCACACUCGUCAAUGGACCUGGGAACACUGCAGGUCCCCACCCCAUGCUCUGAGACACAGACAAAGUGAGAACCGACAAGGUGAGAACGGGACUACCGUCGGGCUGCAGACCCGAAGCAUGUCGGCUGUGUGACCCAGACGGUCCCCUAGCCUCUCUGUGCCUCAGUCUCCCCAUGUGACAACGGAGACUGUGCCAGUUUCAAGAGCCUCCCAGGUCAUUCUGAGGAUGGAUUAAACCACACAGAGGCAAAAGUGCGUAACAAAUACAUGGAAGGUACUGGACACAUGUGAGUGGUUAGGUUACUCUGCGUGAUAGAGAAGAGGCCCCAGUGUCCAAGACGGAGGCCUGGUGAGAGGGGAGAACUGGGGUCAGGAAAAGCAAGAAAGACUUCAUCUCUGGAGGUGGGAAGGGACCCUCGGAGUCGGGUUUCUUGGAGCCAGAACUUCCAGCGACUGUGUCCUGUUACUCUGACCCGAAGGGCCAUUUGUCCACUGGAGUCUGAAGAACAAUUUCCCACAGAUGGAGAAAGGAGGCAGUCAUCGGCUGGCUGGGGGCCUGGCCAGUGUGCGGGACGUGGGAGUCCAUGGCUGCCUUCACCACCCAUCCAAUAAGCUGGUCUCUGGCAUGAUCGGCCCCAAAACCAAAAAGCAACUCUCCCCAACAGCACCCCUGGGGCUGCCGGCGCCACCAGCUCCACCUGGGGAAGCUUCCAUUUCACCGGCUGCAAAUCUCCACGUCUGCCUUAUUUUAUGCUCGAUAUAGCUGGCACUCCCCGACUCCCUCCGCCAGCUCAUGGGAAGUGUGCUGAGUCUGAGGAGCCAAUCAAUCAGUGAAACAGUAUUUACUGAGUGCCUACAGCAUGCAGUGUGCCAUGCCAGAAAAGCUACAACCACUUUAAAGACCUGUUUUCCAGGGGCCUCUGUUCUGGCUGGAUGGGAGCAAUCAAAGUGCAAAAUCUACCACUCCCAGGUGGGAUGGACUGGUGCCCAGUCAACGCUACGGGCGCUCAGAGGAGGCAAUCACUGUCGCAGUCACGGAAGCCAGUUGAAGGAGGAGCCAGACCAGCUUGAGAGCUGGGGACGACUCAUACCAGGAGGCUACGGAGGAGCGGUGAGAAAUGGUCCAAUUUGAGAUGUUUUGAAGGUGGCAUUGACAGGCCUUGCUGGGCUUUGAAGAAUGAAUAGGAUUUUGAUAAAUGGGGAACCAGAAAGGUGGGCAUGAAGAAAAAGGUAGGAACAGACACCGCCACGUAUUAUUAACCAAGAGACAGUGCAAGGAGCUGCAGGGGGUCCGAAUGAUUUACGUCCAGCAGCUGCCUGGGUCCUUCACACUGUGGAGAGUGGGCCUGUGCCUCCUGUCCCCUGGCGCAGCCCCACAUGGAACCAGGUCAGGGCUCCCAAGGAAUGGGCACACUCAGACCCACAGCAUCGCCCAGCUGGGCCAUCACAAAGCUUCGCCCGGGAACGGGGCUAGCCCCGCCUACGGCCACUAGAUGGCGCUCCAGGCUGGUUCAGAAGCUCUGGGUUCGCCGGUGAUGGCUGAAACUUUCAUCCAAAUAGUCACUCUGACUUUUCUUCAAUCUGGUCAGUUUCUAUGCUGCCGUCUCAAUUUUUCUUUCAUUAAUCAUACCAUGGAGAAUUUAUGAUCUUCAUGCUGAAGAUUUAUGGCUCUAAAAGCCAGACCCUGGAAUGAGUAAGCGGAAACCCCACUGCCGCAGGUACUCGUUGCAGGGGAGCUGCAGGGCGCCCCCACACACUGCAGCUGGAGACACGCAGGACCCCAGAGCUCAGAGCCUGGACCCUUCUCGGGCCUGGAAAAGUUCUCAAAGCACAGCCUUCUCCUGAAGCGGUUUCCCACUGUGGGUGUACCUGCAGGGGGGGGCCCCUUCCGAGCCCUCUCUCCACUUCCCUCCUGGGGGAAGUGCUGGGAUGCUCAGGUACCUCUACCUAGGAAAACCUCUUAGGUCAGAAACUCCAGGACCUGGUCACCUCUCUUCAAACUGGUUCUCUGACUUCACACUCCACAUCCUUUGAUUUGGUCUUGCCAGACCCACCUGGGAGCCUUCUACCUCUCAGGGAACACAGCUGGUGCCCUGUCCCCAAAUCUGCUUCCUUUCCCAUUUCCUGUCCAAAGUCCUCCAGGCCCCCAGGAAAGAUCUGCGGCCUACCCUACGGGGGCGCAGUCUGGACUGGAAGGCUUCCUCUCCAAGCCCUCAAACCUGUUCCUGCCUCCAUUACAGCUCCCGCCUGGCACAACUCCACCCAUGGUGCACGUCUGCCCAGUGAGGAGGCCUGUGCAGUACAGCGGGUGCCACGCACAUCCCCAUUGCCAUGCUCCCAUCCUCAAGGGGCUCCUGCCGAGAUGAGCUCUCUGCUCCCAUCUUCUGAUGGCCCAACACUAACAGAGCCUCCCGGCAAGAAGAAAACACAAAGGUCACGCCUUGAUUUUCCAGGAAGCUAAGCGGGGGGACAAGGAAGUCCCCAGUCACACUGCUGGGCUGGGACAAAACCUUGGUUUCUGGCAUUUGGUGCAGAAGCCUUCACUACCUGCUCCCAGGGGACCUCCGACUGACAGGGGACAGGCACCAAGACUGGGCCUUCGCCACAGGUCCCAUGUCCAGAUCACGGCCCCCACUGCCCUCCCUGCCCCUGGCCUCUAGUUUCCAGCCCAGCCUGCAUAGAGCUGCCUGAUUCUUUUCCUAAAAUGCCUCUCUCAUCAUGCUGCUCCCUGGUGUGACCUUAAGAUUCUUUAGCUCUCAGAGGCCCAAUUUCCUUUAAAACUUGGGAUUUGGACGAGAUCAUUUCUCAGGUCCCUCUGGCGCAGUCUUAGCCGAGUCUGAGACAUGGUGCUCUCAGCCCUCAGCCCAGUGGUUCCCAAUCAGGAGCAAUUCUGCUCCCCAGGGAACAUGUGGCAUGUCUGGGGACGUUUUUGGUUGCCACAACGGGAGGGGCUGCUCCUGGCAUCUGGUGAGUGGAGGCCAGGGAUGCUGCUGAACACCCUGCGGCGCACAGGACAGCCCACACGGUCAAGAACUGCCUGGCCCCAAUUGUCAAUAGAGUUUGAGAAACCCCGCCCCCUACCCUAUCCCCCCACGCCAGGCACCCACCCUUGGGCUGCCAACAUCUUGAGAACAGCCAUUGGAGAAAGAAUCUGAUGUGUUCCCUCCAGCGGUGGGGAAGGGAGAGCCAAUGACAGCGAUAUGCCCAAAGAUGCCAGCUGGGCGAUCUGGUCUGGGCCGUGCGCUGACUCCGGAGGAGGGAAAGGGUGCAGGCCCCCAGCACAGAGAAAAGCCUCAAGUCAUCAGGCUGUAUCAGGAUCUUCUUUGUCAUCAGGGGCCCAUCCACAAUACGCGCAGCAGCCUGACAUGCUGGCUAGUAAUGAACCUGCCUGGCUCUGGAAGAAGCCAACCUGCCAAGAACUUCAUCAUGGGGAGCAGAGACAAUACAUCGGUGCCAGGAGCGCAGCCGCUGCUUUGUAUUUCAGACACCCCUUGCCUCCAAGGGCCCCCGCAGCUCAUUCAUUCUCACAGCCAUAAAGGGAGAGGCAGGAGGGGCAGGGAAGGCAAGAGAGCAGACGAUGCCUCCAAUUCUGCAUGGAGAGAAAUGAAGGGACAAAGUCACAGACACAUCUUUGCCAAAGUCACCCAGCAGGCCUUCUUCCUCCAUGGGGAACUGGAAAAGAAGGUAGAGGCACGUUCAGAACCUCCUAGGGGGCCCGGUGUAGGGCCGAAGCUGUCAGAAGGAACAAAGCCCGAGGAACAGCCCUCAGAAGGACCACAAAAUGACGUGUGGCCGGGAUGCCAAAGAGCAGCAGAUAAUAGAGAGCACCUGCCAGCCUUGUAGAGGAGGAGUGAUCAUUCACCAGUCCAUAAACAUCGAUUCCCGCUGCCGCCGCAGCCCUACCAGGACAGGCUGCGCAGAGGGCGCUUUCAUGUACCGUGUCUCUGCAAACGGUGAUGACGAUCUUGAGUGGAGCCCAUUUUACAGGUGAAAACACUGGAGCCCUUGGAGUUGGACCCUUUUCCACGCGGUGCCUGUAACUGACUGAUGUAGUGAGCAAGAAUGUUGAGAAUUUCCUUAUUUGACCCACAAGGAUGCGGAGUUUCAGAGGAAAGCACAGAAGCCACUGAAAGGAUUUCUGCUUUUUGGAAAAGAGUAACCUGCCCAUGGGAUCCUCCAGCCAGUUAGUUACUCAGCAGGUACCUUGCACACAUCUGCCCUGAGCCCAGCACUGCGCUGGCUUCUACCACACACAAGAUCAUGAGACAGGGUCCUACCCUGGGAAUAGCCGGGCCAGCUGGACCAACACCACCAGGCUGGAGAGGUGGCUGCAGUGUGAGAUAGGACAAUGGCCAGAGCUGGAGUGUGUGGGUUAGAGACAGCCGUGGCUGACUCUGGCCUUGGGUCCAGGUAGACCCAGUUAAAGUUCCAGGUUCCCUCGUUUACCAGCCAGCAGGACCGCAGAAAACGACUUUUUCUCUGGUGCUCAUGUUUUAAAUGGGAAUUAAUGGUACCUACCACAUAGAGUCGUCGUCAGGAUUAAAUGAGGUUCGUGAAAAUAAACUUCCUAGCAUGGCGCCUUGCACACAACUAUAAAUGAAAGCCAUUAUGAGUAUUUAUGGCCUGCAGCCAUCCUUCCCCAGGUUACGGAGGCCAGCCGUGAGUCAGGAGCCUGUGGUGGAGAGAGGCAGGGAGGUCCUGCCACUGCCCGCACUGCCCCGGCCCCAGCCGGCACACAGAAGCUGCUCCUGGGCCUCCCCGAGCCCUGUCCACCCAGGCCUGCAGCAGCGUCUGCCCAGAUGGGCUCUACUCCCUCUGCCGUCCUGCCGGUCCCCAGGCACCCGUCUCCGGGAGGCGGCUUGCUUUCCCGAUUUGCAGGCGUGCUUUCUUUUGGCAGGGAGCUGCUGCCGUCUGUGCUCUGGACCGUAAAACAAGUUUUCAUCAAUAAAUUAAGAUAAGCGGAAAGCCAGCUCCAGAGGAGGCGGGUUGAGGCGGGCUGGCGGGCGGGAAGCUGUUCUGUGACCCAGAAGGGGCCGAGGCAAAUCCAAAGCAAGACUCGGUCCCCACCCCCUUCCCCAGGUCCCCUGUGCCCCAUUCGACCCAGGCCUCUCAGACAGGGGGAGGAUUGGGAGGUCACCUGCCUCCCUCUGGCCCCAUUACCUCCUCGAGGCGGGUGAGCCAAGUGUCACAGCGACAGGUACAGUCAGGCUCUCAGCAAUGCUCUGAGCCAAAGUAACGGUCCCAAGUGCUCUGCUGGGUGACCUAAAUCACUCAGACACUUGCCUGCCCAAUCACUACCUGAUAAAAACUCUGCAAAUAAAAAUGCUCCUCUC